GAUACAGGAAGCCCAGUUUUUGCUUUUGAUCAGUUUGACUUCAUUUUACUUUUGGUACUAUUUCAUGUCAAUGAUUAACUUCUGCAUGUGCCUUAGCACCUCUGGAAGCAUUCAAAUAGAUGAUGCUUGAAAUUCUGGAACGGAUCUAAACAUAAUCUCAAGAACAACAUAAACCAAGGAAGAAAUCAUGAGGGUGAGACAUCAUGAAGAACACUAGGAAAAAGUUAACUAAUCCAUGAGAAAGUAAGUUGCUGAAGAAGCAGUAUUCACCAUCUAUAAUUUGGCCUUUUGUCUGGCCAUUGGCAGGAGACGGCCUUUUGAGAAAGGAAAUGUGGCAAACAGGAAAAGAAGUCAUUUAAGGAAGAAGCACAACUGAAUUGUUGGCUUGGCCUUACUACAUUCUAGAUAGAGGAAUGGAAGCUGAAUGUAUUCACACCCAAAUUCCACUGCAGUCAUCAGCAGAAACUUUAGAACCGGGUGCAGGGGCCAUGUGUCCACCUCCAUGAGCAGCUGUUAAGGCACAAGGAUCUCUGAGCCUGUGUCCUGACGUGUUCUUAGUUGGUUGAUCCAGUUCUAUAAUGGGAGGAGUCAGGUAUUAUGGCAACCAUGGUGACAGAGAUGUCUGUUACCUACCGGAGAGCUCUUGUGUAACUCUUGCGACAGGCAUUCAUGCUCCUGCAAAUCUGGCCUUUUUUGUUCUCUAGUCACCAUUUUCAGGCCUCCCAAGAGAGCACAACUGCUGCCUCCCUUGGUUUUCUGCAGUCAGCAGCCAGAUUGUUGCAUGGGUCUUUUGUUCAGGAUGUAAAAUGCUCAUCUUCUGAGCUGCUUCUCAGAUUUAUCUGCCACAUGGAACAACGUUAUCGUUUAGGCAGUUUUGCACAUUCAGAAAGGCCUCAAUUAAAUACAAUUUAAUUAGAAAAUAGAAUUUAAAAUUGAAUUGCAGAAAUGAAGCUACAAGUAAAUGGGCAUGUAAAAAUAUUCCAACUUCCUGUAACAAGCUUUAAACAAACCAGGUUCCAUAGUUAAAUACAAAGUUAUUGUGAUCUCCCUGCCUUAAAAACCAGAUUAGGAAAUAGAAAUGGAUUGCCAGCUGAAUGAAUCAAUUGUCAUUCUGUUUAUGUGUACAGAUAUAUCACAGAGGGAGAUGUGCUUUGCACAUGCCAGAAAAGAGCAAGUGAAGAAACCAGCACAAAGUACUGGUUUGUGUAACUUUGUCUGCAUAUUUGUAUAGAUGUAAUUGCUAGAAAUGCCUGCUUUGUAGGAAUGGUGUGUGACAAUUCACUUGUCACUUCAUAUCUCAUCCCCCUGCAGAUGCUUUAAGAAGUUAAGGAACUCUGUGGUAGCUUCUAUAUGUUUGCAUAAGAAUGGUCACUGACAGGGCU